GUGUGUGUGUGGAUGGUGUUCAGCACCAGGGACAGGUUUGUGUGUGUGGAUGGUGUUCAGCACCAGGGACAGGUUUGUGUGUGU
rnacentral:pre_miRNA from 1 species